CAGUUAGAUAUGUCCCAGAAAGUAGAGAGUUUGAAACUUUGCCUAGUCCAAGGUUUAUAAACAUAGUCAUAGUCAAUGCCCUGCAAUGAGGAAAAAAAUUAUAAAAGUACAUCCCACCAAAGAUAACAUACAAACAUGCACACCUGAAUUAGCUUUUGGAAAAAAAAAAUAUGGACCAGAUAAAAAUUCACAGUCAAACAAUUUAUGCAUGCAAAAAACAUAGCCUCUCUAGAUUUUUAAGUCUCAAUCUCUUCUUGAAGCUAACAUUCUGCCUAGUUGUGAAUUACUCACUCUCUAGGCUCUUGAAAGGAAAUUAUGUCAGACAGUAGUGAUUUUCCAGUCAUUUCAGUUGCAUGAAUAUUUCUCUGCCACUAUUUAUUGAGAAAGCACCUGGUCCAAGGCCAUCUUCUGCGGACACCUCCCAAGAUGUACAAUCUUCUUCUCUGGCUAUUUUUCAUCAGAAUAUUCUUACGUUAGAAUCUGCAGGAGUCAGAAUCUCAAUGUACCAUCGUCUGAUGCAGUAGUCUUGUUUUCCUGUGACACUCAGCCCCCAUGUUCCAUUUGCUCCUGGGUCAUCCUCUUGCAUCAUGAGAUACUUUCUCUAGCUAACUUUUCUGCCUUAAUUUGGGGCCAAACUAAAAUCACUGACCAAUGGCUUGGAAGCAGAAAUUUCUGUGAGGCUGCAUCAAGUCUGUUUGCCUAGAUGGCUUAUAUAGUCAUUGUGAUGUGAGUGUUCCAGAACCAUGCUGGGCCCAUGGUUUCAUCAGUGGGCUUGCUGUUCCCUGGACCUCCAGUUGAGAAACAGGCCCAAGACCCUCUACGUUAAGGUUUCCCAAAGUUUACAGGGAGUUUUAAUCCUAACUCCAUGUCUAUGUAAGAGGACAAAGAGCCCCUUCUCAGGCAUGAAAAAUUCUGAAUCUCUCUAGAAAUUCUGUUAUUGGUCUCCCUCUCCCAUCCCUGGGAACUCAUACAUAUCCCUGGACUACAGGAUGUCAGAAAUGGAGGGUUCUACCUUCUUCCACUUUAGGCUAGGACUUCUUGUGAAUAUUCACAAAGUGCUUUCACUCAACACUAAUUUUUAUGGCCAAGAAAUACAUAUGUUGAAGUCUUAAACCCCAGUACCUCAGAAUGUAACUAUAUUUGGAGAUAGAGUCUUAAAAAAGGUAAUUAAGAUUAAAUGAAGUUGCAUGGGUAGGCCCUAAUCCAGUCUGACUGGUGUCAUUAUAAGAGAAGAUCUGGACCCACAGAGAUACCAUGGAUGCACAGGCAUAGAGAAAAGGCCAUGUGGGGACAUAGUGAGAAGGCAGCCAUCUACAAGCCAAGGAGAGAGGCCUCAGGAGAAACCAAACUUGCCAACACCUUGAUCUUGGACUUCCUGCCUCCAGAACCAAAAAGAGCACCAUAAACUGCUAAGCAAGAGAGAGAAAUAACUAUUUCUUCUGAUGCUGCUGGAGAUCCGGGUAGUCCGGGAAAGGAUGUCAGUUAAUGAUUUCCCUCCUCAGUGCAGCCUGAAUCCCGUCUGCAGCUCCCUCGUGGUAUGAUUCCACGAAGCACUGGAAAAUUAAGGAGGAAAUCUACUGCCAUUCUUCAACUCCUGACACGUUUAUGGAAGCCCCAGUCCACACUAGACAGAGUGAUCGGGUCUGCUGGUACAGUUUCUGCUAGCAGGGGCCUUACCCUCCAGUUUAAAAGAUAGGUAAUUACACAGCAACUGCUGUCAGAGUGAAACAGCCCCUCCCCAUCUCAGCGUGGGCCUAUCAGAGAGUCCUGUUUAUCUUCUCCCCCGCUCCUCCUCCUCCGCCUCUUCUUCCUUCUUCUGCCCCUCCUUGCCCUAUCUUCCCUCCUCCUCCUUCUGUUUGUCUUUUCCGUUUGGACACAAGCUCAAUGAAAGCAGGGACCAAGUCUUUACUCUUUCUGACACAGUUAGAAGAACUUCUGAGAUAUUAUAUAGAGCCAGAUAUUGAUUUCUGAUACAUAGAAAGCAGAAUAAUUAGAUAUUGUAACAACUCUAUGACUUGUCUACUACCAGGUAGUAAUAUAAAAUGAAAGAAUCUCGUCUCUAGAUCUAGACAGAAAGACAUCUGAAGCAUGAAGAAAUACAAAAUCAAAUUAUGUGGUGUAGUCAUCUUUAUGGAGAUAAAAAAAGACGGUAAUCUGUCCUGAAAAUUAUGUUUAUAAUACAAGCAGACACAGAUACCCCGUGUGUGUCAGGGGUUGGGGUCUUCCUUUGGGGACCUCUGGCUUAGUGAUGCAAUUUCCUUCACCUCGCUACCUGCUCAAAGACCCGGUUGUCCUCAGAGGAAUCUCCCCUGUCACGUUUAUUUCAGUAGACGCUGAGAUUUCAGUUCUUUCUCUCUCUCAAGGCUUGUUCUCGCUCUCAUUCUUUGUCUAAUUCCUUUUGUUUUGCUUGGUUUUGUUUUAUUUAGUGGCUAGCAAUGAUUAAACAGUAUGUUUUAAACAGAUGUAGCUGUUUCAUAGUGAAACAGUCCUUCAGAAUAUUCAGAAUAUUUAAUCCUCCAAAAAGAUAAAUUGAAGUUCUAUUCCCCAGUACCUGUGAAUGUGACCCUAUUUGACAACAGGGUGGGCCCUGAUCCAACCUGACUGAUGCCCACAGGAGAGGAGAAGAGACACUCUGAGGCAGCCGAACCUGCAGAAUGCCAUGUGAAGACAAAGGCAGACACUGGAGUAGUGUCUACCAGCCAAGGCAUGUCAACGGUUUCCAGCAACACCAGAAGCUGAGAGAAGAGACUUAAUCACCUGCAAUGCAAUCUGUACAAGUCCUUAGAGGAAAUUUUUGGAAGAAAAUCUUAAAGGAAUUGCUGCCAAUAAGAGGAAAAAAUUUCCAUCCAGAGAAAAACACCAAGG
rnacentral:lncRNA from 1 species